rnacentral:rRNA from 1 species
UAGGGAAUCUUCCACAAUGGCGCAAGCCUGAUGGAGCAACACCGCGUGAGUGAAGAAGGGUUUCGGCUCGUAAAGCUCUGUUGUUAAAGAAGAACACGUAUGAGAGUAACUGUUCAUACGUUGACGGUAUUUAACCAGAAAGUCACGGCUAACUACGUGCCCG